rnacentral:pre_miRNA from 1 species
ACAACGUUCGGACCGUCGGUCUACCGAGCAAUAUCACCCGCUCGGUGGAAGAUCUCUCCUUUGUCGU